AACGCACCUUGCGCUCCUUGGUAUUCCGAGGAGCAUGCCUGUUUGAGUGUCAUUAAAUUCUCAACCUCAUAACGUUUUCGGACGGUCCUUGAGGCUUGGACUUUGGAGCGUGUCGGUUCUAUUUAUUUGAAUCGACUCCUCUUUAAAUGCAUUAGCUGGAACCUCUUGUGGACCAGACUACGGUGUGAUAAUUAUCUACGCUGUUGGUCUUGCGAAGCACUUUGUUACGAGGUUCUGCUUCUAACCGUCCCUUACACGGACAACAAUCUUAAUUGACAUUUUGACCUCAAAUCAGGUAGGACUACCCGCUGAACUUAA
rnacentral:misc_RNA from 1 species